rnacentral:rRNA from 1 species
UCAGGAUGAACGCUAGCUACAGGCUUAACACAUGCAAGUCGAGGGGAAACGAUAUUGGAAGCUUGCUUCCGAUAGGCGUCGACCGGCGCACGGGUGAGUAACGCGUAUCCAACCUGCCCAUCACUUGGGGAUAACCUUGCGAAAGUAAGACUAAUACCCAAUGACGUCUCUAGAAGACAUCUGAAGGAGAUUAAAGAUUUAUCGGUGAUGGAUGGGGAUGCGUCUGAUUAGCUUGUUGGCGGGGUAACGGCCCACCAAGGCGACGAUCAGUAGGGGUUCUGAGAGGAAGGUCCCCCACAUUGGAACUGAGACACGGUCCAAACUCCUACGGGAGGCAGCAGUGAGGAAUAUUGGUCAAUGGGCGAGAGCCUGAACCAGCCAAGUAGCGUGCAGGAUGACGGCCCUAUGGGUUGUAAACUGCUUUUAUAAGGGAAUAAAGUGGGAGUCGUGACUCUUUUUGCAUGUACCUUAUGAAUAAGGACCGGCUAAUUCCGUG